AUUGAACGCUGGCGGCAUGCUUUACACAUGCAAGUCGAACGGUAACAGGCCGCAAGGUGCUGACGAGUGGCGAACGGGUGAGUAAUGUAUCGGAACGAGCCCAGUCGUGGGGGAUAACGCAGCGAAAGCUGCGCUAAUACCGCAUACGAUCUAUGGCUGAAAGCGGGGGACCGUAAGGCCUCGCGCGAUUGGAGCGGCCGAUGUCAGAUUAGGUAGUUGGUGGGGUAAAGGCUCACCAAGCCAACGAUCUGUAGCUGGUCUGCGAGGACAACCAGCCACACUGAGACUGAGACACAGCCCAGACUCCUACGGGAGGCAGCAGUGGGGAAUUUUAGACAAUGGGCGCAAGCCUGAUCCAGCAAUGCCGCGUGCAGGAAGAAGGCCUUCGGGUUGUAAACUGCUUUUGUACGGAACGAAACGGCGAGCUCUAAUACAGUUUGCUAAUGACGGUACCGUAAGAAUAAGCACCGGCUAACUACGUGCCAGCAGCCGCCGUAACAC
rnacentral:rRNA from 1 species